CCCGCUGAACUUAAGCAUAUCAAUAAGCGGAGGAAAAGAAACUAACAAGGAUUCCCCUAGUAACGGCGAGUGAAGCGGGAAGAGCUCAAAUUUGUAAUCUGGCACUUUCAGUGUCCGAGUUGUAAUCUCGAGAAGUGUUUUCCGCGCCAGACCGCAUACAAGUCUGUUGGAAUACAGCGUCAUAGUGGUGAGAACCCCGUAACUGAUGCGGAUGCCUGGUGCUCUGUGAUACACUUUCGAAGAGUCGAGUUGUUUGGGAAUGCAGCUCAAAUUGGGUGGUAAAUUCCAUCUAAAGCUAAAUAUUGGCGAGAGACCGAUAGCGAACAAGUACCGUGAGGGAAAGAUGAAAAGCACUUUGGAAAGAGAGUUAACAGUACGUGAAAUUGUUGGAAGGGAAACGCUUGAAGUCAGACUUGCUAUUUGGAAUUCAGCCGCAAGGUGUAUUUUUCAAUUCGCAGGCCAGCAUCAGUUUUUGGGGGUGGAAAAGGGUAGAGAGAAGGUAGCAACUCCGGUUGUGUUAUAGCUCUUUGCUGGAUUCAUCCUUGGGGACUGAGGAACGCAGCACGCUUUUUGCAAGGCUUUCGAGCUUUUCGUGCUUAGGAUGCUGGUGGAAUGGCUUUAAACGACCCGUCUUGAAACACGGACCAAGGAGUCUAACAUGCUUGCGAGUAUUUGGGUGUCAAACCCGGAUGCGCAAUGAAAGUGAAUGGAGGUGGGAAGCGCAAGCUGCACCAUCGACCGAUCUGGAUUUUUUAAGAUGGAUUUGAGUAAGAGCAAUUAUGUUGGGACCCGAAAGAUAGUGAACUAUGCCUGAAUAGGGCGAAGCCAGAGGAAACUCUGGUGGAGGCUCGUAGCGGUUCUGACGUGCAAAUCGAUCGUCAAAUUUGGGUAUAGGGGCGAAAGACUAAUCGAACUAUCUAGUAGCUGGUUCCUGCCGAAGUUUCCCUCAGGAUAGCAGAAACUCACAUCAGUUCUAUGAGGUAAAGCGAAUGAUUAGAGGCCUUGGGGUUGAAACAACCUUAACCUAUUCUCAAACUUUAAAUAUGUAGGAAGUCCUUGCUUCUUAAUUGAGCGAGGACAUGCGAAUGA
rnacentral:rRNA from 2 species